rnacentral:lncRNA from 1 species
GGGUCCUCUGGACUGAUCAAGACUAACUCUCUGGGCAUACUGCCUGGGAUGAGGAGAGUUGAGCAAGGGAGCUGGAUUGAAGGAAGAUGUGGAAGGCUUAGUAUUGACAUUGAAGGACAUAGAAUCAGGAUUGAACUGGGAGACAGACUGAACUUGUCUCUGUUUUUCAUCAUUGAGGAGAAUGUUAUUGACAUUGUCAAGACUAGGAGGAGGUUGCAUCAUUAACAGGUUGCUCCUCACCCCCAUAUAUGUCUCAUUAAGACCAUAAGGAAUUGAAAUACCUUAUUCUCCUCAUCCUCCUUUAUAAUGCUAGAUCUGGCAUCACAGCUACAUCUCUGUCCAUGAUUUGGGCACAUUGUCCCUAACUCAUCCCAUAACCCUUUGAGUUUGUUGAAAUAGGAGGCUAUAUCUAGGGGUCCUUGAGAAGAAUGAGAAAGUUCACGUUUCAGUUCAAAAAUUUUGGUCCUAUUGGCUGUGCCAUAUCUGGCUUCGAGUUGUGACCAUAUA